rnacentral:rRNA from 1 species
UUGCUAGUAAUGGCAAGUCAGCAUACUGCCGUGAAUACGUUCCCGGGCCUUGUACACACCGCCCGUCAAACCAUGAGAGUUGGCAACACCCGAAGUCGGUAGUCUAACCGCAAGGAGGACGCCGCCGAAGGUGGGGUUGAUGAUUAGGGUUAAGUCGUAACAAGGUACC